CGCGUAGAUAUCUGCCUAGUAGUGGGGGACAACUCGGGGAAACUCGAGCUAAUACCGCAUACGUCCUACGGGAGAAAGCGGGGGAUCUUUAGACCUCGCGCUAUUAGAUGAGUCUGCGUCGGAUUAGCUUGUUGGUGGGGUAAAAGCCUACCAAGGCGACGAUCCGUAGCUGGUCUGAGAGGACGAUCAGCCACACUGGAACUGAGACACGGUCCAGACUCCUACGGGAGGCAGCAGUGGGGAAUAUUGCACAAUGGGGGAAACCCUGAUGCAGCCAUGCCGCGUGUGUGAAGAAGGCUC
rnacentral:rRNA from 1 species